UUUUGACAAUGGGGGAAACCCUGAUCGAGCGACGCCGCGUGGAGGAUGAAGGUCUUCGGAUUGUAAACUCCUGUCAUUUGGGAACAAGGUGCACACGUUAACUGCGUGCGUAUUGGUAGUACAGAAGAGGAAGAGACGGCUAACUCUGUG
rnacentral:rRNA from 1 species